AAAGAAAUGGCUGAGCGGUUUAAAGCGGCAGACUGUAAAUCUGUUGAUUUUUUCAUCAUAGGUUCGAAUCCUAUUUUCUUUA
rnacentral:tRNA from 1 species